rnacentral:rRNA from 1 species
CUUGGUGUGUGUGUAGUGGUUGAGGAGAAACGGGUGGGUAGAGUGGAAGAGGGGCCAACGAGUUUUUUUUUAGGGGAAAGGGGUGUGCGGCGGCGCCGAACGAGACGGGCGGGAGAGGCGGCGGCAGAGAGACGGUCGGGGUCGGGGUCGGGGGCGGAACGAGGGAGAGGCGCGAGAGGUGGGGACUGCUGGUCGCGCCGGCGAGCACAGCUGGCGCAACAGCGAGGGGGGAGUGGAUCGUGACGGCGGCGAGGCCACCCCCUUCCAGGUCCGGCCGCACCGCCGCGCAGUGCCUCGGUGGGGGUUUGCGGGACGUCGAACGUCGAUCGGUGGUGGACACAGCCUCGCAACCUACGGACUUUCUUGUCCUGUACCGACUAAAAUGCCUCGCCGUAACAAGGUGACUUACACAAUUCUAAACGCUCCGUGACUUGACUUUCCGGAUCAGCCAGCACCUGGUCUUGGACAAGGACGGCACUAACAGCUAGAGUAUCUCUUCUUCACACGCCUCUUUACAAACUUAGACUAGUAAAGUAGGAGUAUGACUUGUGAAAAUUAAAGGCGGUACUUAAACGAUAAAGGAUGGUCUUUCUAUUAAAGGAAAAGAAGAACCGAAAACGUCCGAGGCAUUAAAACCCUUUUUAUUUAAAUCACUGGGUUCACACGACGAAAGAUAAGACUGGUUAAACCCUCCCCUUACAGUGUAACCUACGGACUUCCUUGUCCCUACAUGUACAUGACGAUGACGCGGCACAACUGACACCCCAUUCGAAAAAAAGAAGGAGUAAGGCGGACCGAACUCUAGCUGGUACAUACAUCCAUGGUAGUAUACAAGAUCGUAUUUACUAGACCCCACCGGAGCCGCUCUCUGCGGUUAUUAGAGUAGCGAUCCACGACCCUAGGUCCCCCGUGGCAGUUCCUCGUUUCAGGAUUCUAGCUGGUGAGACUCAAAACGCGUGGGGUACCGGGGGAGGCCGGGUCAGAGGUAACUGGUAUCCCAAUCUAGCCGACAGAACGCGGCGGUACUCUGUGGGGAACGGGCGCUGGCCGAAGAAGUUGUGACUGUUCGCCUCGCGCGGUUCAACCGUGAGGUGCUAGGGUGGUUGCAGCUUCAUCUCACGUAGCGGGUGUUCCUGCGAUUCCGCGCCGGUUCGAUUUUCCCGUGAACAGUAGCACCACUACUUCUCUCCGCUCGAGCCAGGUGCGCGCUCAGAGGCUGUUAAUGUAGGUAUGCCUUCAGUGACAAGGGCCGUCUUACCACCUGUGCCGCUGGUCUACCUUUACCGGGAGGAACCGUUGGCACCACCAGUGUCGGACCGCGCCGUGUCUCGUGGCGGCGCAACUUCGACUGGACGUACAACCUGUUCACCACCUCAGACUUCCUUUAUCUCAACUCAGAAGUCAAUAAGGGGGACAAGGGGUUAAGAGGGAGGCGGAGGUUUAAGGGCCGGACUUCCUUUGUCCCCGUUGCCGUUGCCGUUGGUUGGUGUCAUUCUCGUCGUGGCGGAGGUUUAAGGCCCGGAAGUUUAUGGGGAGAGGGAGGGAGAGGCGGCGGGUUUGGGUUGAGGUUUUUAGAGGGUUGUAGUGUAGUCUCCCUAGCUAGUUUUUUCUUUCUAGCUAGUUCUUCCCUUCUUCUACCGGAGUUAGCCGUUGCCGUUCGGGCUACGGGUCCCGGUCCUCGCGGUCCGCCGCUCCGAGGACGGCGGCCGGCUCCACGGCGGAGGCGUGUGCCUGCGCCCGGAGCACCACGACAAGCUGGAGGAUGCUACUGCCCAGCUGCCUAAGGGGUGGACUUACGAGGGGCGGAUGGAGCAGGUGCCUCAGCUGCAGAUGCCGGUGGUGGGCGUCCUAGACGACGCCGCGGUAGGCGGCCGCUGUAGCGGGCUGCCGUUCGCACGGAGGAUGAAGCACUUGGACCAUGCGGGGGAGUGGCGCUGCCUACGUUCUUCUUCGUCCCAGCACGGCCCCCCCAAGACCUUCAGCCUCGCGCGGGGGCAGGGGCAGCUUCGGCGGGGGCUGUUCUACUAGCCUUGGUUCGUCCGGAAGAGAAAGUAGAGGUUCCUCCGCCUCGUGUUCCCACCUGGGGCGCCGCCCAAGUAGUACGUGCUCGAGGAAGAGGGGCCGGUCCGUCCUGCGGAGCGGCCGCCCCUGCUCGACCGCGAGAGUUUCCAGAUGGGCAGAGGCGCGCAGCGGUGGUUCUUCUCCAGGUCCAGGGUCCCUGUUCCUGGCUGGCGGUCGCGUUGUUCCUGGCGCCGGCGGAGGAGACGAGGUCGCGGCUGCAGAAGCGGCGGCGACGAGGUCGCGAGGACGCUGCAGAAGUCGUCACGUUCUUCAUCGUCGCGGCAGAGGAGAGGCGGAGGAAGGGACCUCGGCGGCCGGAGGAGACGAGGCGGAAGGGACCUCCGGAGCAGAGAGCCCGGCCGUAGGAGACGCGGCCCCGGCCGUAGGAGAAGAGGCGGGGGGUAGGUCCCUAGCAGAGGUGCCGUGGCCGUCCCACGGCGGUUCUCCCACGAGGAGGACCUCCACCCGCUGAGGGGGGGCUCCCUUCCGGUGUUGUAAAGCACGGUGGUCCAGAUGGUGCGGUACCUCCAAGAACCUGGGCCCUCCGCACAGGGGUAGCUGACGCGACUGGAGAAGGACGAACUGUCGCCCUUCCCCUUCUCCGUCGCCUGCCGACGUCUCAAAACUCUUUUGAGACAGCGGGGCGGUACCCGUUUAGAUUUGAGACAACGACACAUUGUAAGUCUGUUUUUUAAACUAUCCUUUGAAAUCGACACUAAGUCAGCAAAAAACUCUAAGUCAUCAACGAAACAAUGUUGAAUUAACUAACUUUAGGCCGUAUUAGUCACCGCUACUACAAUUUUGAAACCAAAAGAAGAGUUUUGUAAGCGACAACGGCUGAUUUUUACACAGAUACUACCUUCCAAACUACAAUUUGAAACCAAACUCUCAAGGGUUACAAACGUAAAAAGAGGUUUCAACGAAACGAACCUCUUAGUAAUGGAAAACAAUCUAGUACAACAAAUCAAGAACCAAUACGUACGAAACAACAAUCGAGUUAAAGUCUUUACGUUGAAGGAACCAAUUAAGUCAGACAUAUUAUCCUUGUCUUGUCAUAGAAUGAUAAAAGGGGAAGUUAAACUUUUUAUCUGGUCAGACAGAAAUAGACACAGUCGCGACAUGUUAAUCAUUGUUUUGAUGGGAGAAAAACAUGAAGUCUAUACAAGAAUUUACUAACUCCUUGGAUCCGACUUUAAUCAUACGACCUAAUCACGGAAACAUUCCUUAGAUCCGGGUAACGUGAAAUUAAGGAGCGUUAAAGAAACAAACACACAGUGGAGAAACCGAUACUAGUUCGUUGGUUUCAGAAGACAACUUGUUUUAGUUCGUUUUCGAACCUAACUCACGGGAAAUGGUACACAACAGUAAAAGUAUAUAUGACAGAGAACGACGAUAAGAGACCCGACACACCUUCGUGUACUUACCAUGAGGGAGACAUUUCUUUAUAUUCUAGUGAGGAAAUCACUAGAUUUGCGAGAAUAUAAAGAAAUGCCUCCCUCAUCAUAACAAAAAUUACCACGGCAAACCUACAGACCUUUACCGCGACCGCGGACGAGGAGUUCCUAGUGUACAACUUCUUCUACCUAGAGGAGACAGAUGUAGAGGUUUUGGACGACGGUUCUAACCCACCUGGUUUAGGGGGACACGAGUUCAGGUCCUCUCUCCGACUGGUACAAAACUAGGAACAUUGUAAACAAGUUGAUCACACUCCAAUAUCUCCAAAAUAAGAGAAAAGAUAAUGACUACAUAAUACAUAGCUUGGACUACAAAAACCCGAAGAAAGACGACUUCAUUACCUCGAGGAGGGACAACUAGAUUGUUUAUAUAAGUG